CCACCCCGCGCGGGCAGACGCUUCUGUGUCGCGGGGAGAUGACGUAAGAGCCCGCCGUUGCCUGGCGAUGGGGUCCGAGCAGAGCGCCGAGGCUGAGGGCCGCCCUCACGACCCCGCGACAGACAUUAGGCUCGAAAGCAGGAAACCUACUUCACGUUUGGAAGCCAUUGAGAAGCCAUUCAUGUUUUCUCAGCCCCAGGAAGGGCAAACCACUUCUGAAAAACUUUGCCAUGAAAACUGCAGGGAUUAAUCCAGCAUCCCCUUCACCAGCCAAGCAACGAGCUAAAAUGGAUGAUAUUGUGGUGGUGGCCCAAGGGACUCAGGCAUCACGGAAUGUCAGCAGUGAUCCAGAUGUCAUAAAACUGCAAGAAAUCCCCACUUUCCAACCUCUGUUGAAAGGUCUUCUUAGUGGGCAGAUGUCUCCAACCAACAUUAAACUAGAAAAACUUGAUUCUCAGCAAGUACUACAGCUGUGUCUCCGGUACCAGGACCACCUCCACCAGUGCGCAGAAGCUGUGGCCUUUGACCAGAAUGCUUUAGUCAAGCGGAUUAAAGAGAUGGAUCUUUCGGUAGAAACGCUGUACACUUUAAUGCAAGAGCGCCAGAAGCGGUACGCCAAGUAUGCUGAGCAGAUCCAGAAAGUCAACGAGAUGUCCGCCAUCCUCCGCCGUGUCCAGAUGGGCAUUGACCUAACUGUCCCACUGAUGGAGAGGCUAAACAGCCUGCUGCCCGAAAACGAGCGGCUGGAACCUUUUUGUAUGAAACCGGACAGGGAGCUCAAGUUAUAGCUUCCAUCCGACCAUCUAUUCUCAGUCUUGACUGCAGGACCUUGCUUGAAGCUUCAGGCUCAGGGUGAUUAAAAGAAUCAACGGUGAUCUCCUGCCCCAACCCGGUUCCAUAUGCAGACUGGAAACUGAUUGGAGGAUAUCGCUAUGGGGAGGGGUCUCGCCUUCUUGCUUGUCAUCCGUCUUUGAGCUGACUCCCAAGCUUUUCCUUCUACAAGUUUCGGGGCUGACCGUUUUGGACGUUUGAUAGUGUGCCACAUUUUUGUUCUUUUUCUCUUUAUGUAUAUAUAAAAAAGAAGUUUGCUAUUCGAGUGUGGUGCAAUUUUUUUUCAUUUGAAAUCGUUUUGAUAACUUGUCGUAUUGUUAUCGGGAACUCCUGCGAGAGCCCUGUUUGAAACGGCAGCAGAUGCAUAUUUAAUAAACAUUACACGAUGUUGCUUACAGAAGAGGCAUUUUAAUGGAAAAGAAUUAGCUGUAAUUCUGAAAGUCCCUAACUUCUGGUUGCUCUUCUCUGUGAAAUGUUCAGUUUUGAUUGAUUGAUUUCCAGAACCUAACCCAUCUUUUAUUAAAAAUGAAUACAUAUAAAUGCAAUAAAACUGCAUUCAUAUUUUAUUGUACAACAACUCUAGUCAAGAAUUAACAGCCAAGAGCAUACCUCAAGUUGAUUUGUUGGGCAUUAACACACCAAAGAUAUAUUUAGAAAAACAUACUUGUUAGAAGUUCAUGUUUCUAACAAAAAUGUGUAUCACCUAAACUGGUUAUAUAUCCUUUGGCAGGAGUUUAAUAAACAGCUAGUUUUCUUCUAGCAGAAUAUUGUUACACCCGUUUUCUUAUUUUGUAAAUUCAACCUCAGUUGCUCAGUACAAACUCACUCCAUAGUUCUUGUCAAUAAAAUUCCCCAUAGCCAUUUUAAAGAAUGAAAACAAAUUUUUAAAUGUUACAUUUCCUAUUCCAAGCCAAAUUUUCACAGGGCUGCAACAUAUCUGAUUUAUGCUAAGACGCUGGCUCUUAACUGGGCUUGCUACAGAUAAAUUUGGGACUGCCAAGAGUUUUGGAAAGGCUAAUUCAAGCCCCCUGGAACAAUCCUGAUGCACAAAGUACUCUUAGGUGCUCAAUGGGUCACCAACCUUGAAAAACAGAAACUCUUGGAUGUCGUUGAAGCUUUCAUUGCCGAGUUCCUUUGGCACACAAGGCAAUCCUGAGCCAGAGAGAAAGAGAGAUAGAAAGCAGCAAUUUGCAAACUCCUAGGCAGGAAGAGAAAUCCCAUAUGGACUUGUGUGCUACUUCCAUUUAAUGUAGUAUGUGUCCUCUAGCAUUGAAUCAGUCUGGAAUGUUCUCCAUCAUGAUCAAUUAACAGCUAUAUCUUGAUAGAAGCAUAUCUCGGAUCCCUAAAAACAUAUCUUGCAUUAUUCCAAAUUGGGCAUAAAAAAACCAAACUGCUAUAAGGGGUUCCUUAGGAAUAUUUAAGUGUACCAAAAGGGGGUUAAUUUGAGUUCUUAACUACAGAAUAGGGAAGGUAGGAUGGUAUUUAAGUAGUUUUCUUGAAAACUCUGCAGAAGAUGCUCUGGGUACGAUAUGUAUUUUUCUUUGUUGAAAAUACAAUGUUUUCAUCGUUUGUUUUGGGGUUGUUGUUGUUUUUGCCUUGUAUUGAAUUUUCUUCUCUGAAUGGUGUAUGAACA